UGUUACCAUGGUGACACGGAGAGCCAGAUCGAUGCUUGGCGCUGGAUGAAGCUCUCAGUCACUGCCAGCUCCCUCCCCCUCCUCUCUCCCCUGAAGUGAGGAGUGUGUAAGGGUGGGGGAGGCUGGGGAGGGGUCAUUCCUCUCUCCCUAGAGCCUCCUGGAGUGAUGACAGGGGUCUCCCCAUCCUCCCAGAUCAUGGGCCUUGGCGGGGGGUAAGAUGGGAGCCUUCUGCCACCUCCAGACCCUUUGACUUGGAAGAAAUGGGACAAGGAGGGAGAACAGGGAUCCCAGGAGACCCCAGGAAACCUCCCAGCUGUUGUCACUAGGGCUCAAGGAUACAGGAGCCAAGUGUCACCUCCCUCCCCUCCGUCAUGCAGAGAUCUGCAAAGGGGGUGCAAGGAUUCUAAAGAAGUUUCUUCUUGGCAGAGGCUUGAGCAAGGCACAGUUGAUGAAAUUGAUUGUGGCAAGAUGAUGUGAGAAUAGGAACACAUUCUUUACUACUGAAAGAUGCACAUAAAAGAAAAGUUCGCUGACUCCUGUCCUAGAGGAUGGAGCCCCAAGAAUGUCUGAACACUAAUAGCAGCUGCUGGACAGGUGAGUACCCAGAACAAAUCUUGGGAA
ensembl:lincRNA